GGCGCCGCCGGUGCCAGGCGCCGCGGGCCGCCGCGGGCCGCCGCGAGGGAAUGCCGAAUCCAGAGUAACAUGAGGUUAAAACCUGAGGUAAAAAACGUCCAAAUCAUGCUUGCGGGCCAGGGGAGCGGGAGUGACUGCCGCCCAGAGCCGGGGGCUGGCCUGCGCGCCGGCGAGCGCGGUUCUCCUCGCAAAGAGGGGUAAGGUCUUCUUCAGCUCCUGCACUGACAAGUUUUGCACCUGUAAGGCCCUCAGAAGUUCAAAUAAACCUCCUGGAACAGAUUAAGAAAUCUUGAGAAGGAUUUGAAGGUGAGAGGUUUCUGCAGUCUUACAUGUUCUCCCUGCCUGUACAGUUAAAGUCUUGCUGAGAUGAUAAAAAGAAGGGUCCUAAGCAGGUGAUUACAGCAGAAAAACCAAAACACCCAAGAGAUCGAAAUUAACUGUGGUCUGCUAGUAAAGGUGAAUCUGAGAUAUAUCCCAUUUAUUCUUUACUGGAAAUAGCCAGAAGAAUCAUUUUCUGUAUUGACAUUGGAGUUCCCUCACACUUAGAAAUACAUUUUCAGAGAAAGAUUUUUCUGUUCAGGUCUUUGCUGAAAAAAAAUCUAAGAAACUACAUGGAACUGAGUUCAGCUACGAGAAAAAUUACAAUUGCCAUCAGCAUUGCCAAGCCUUGAAGCUGUGACCUUGGGCUGUCUAUUUUUAUCGAGUUUAGCAAGUGGACUUGAGUGAACUACUCAGCUCUCCGAGAGGCGCGGUCUCUAAAGUACUCUACUGCAUUUUGUGUCUUCUCUCUUAGAGAUUCACUUCCUCACUUGCAGCUGCUGUUUGCAGGCACCAGGUCCCCUGACACAAUGCCUCGAGUUCCUCGAAAUGAAAAGAGGGAAAGAAAUUGGAAGCUCGCUUUGAAAACUUGGAACAAUGCAAGAGAGAAAAGAAAAGAAAUUUACAGGCUUGUGUUAAUUUUCUCAGGGUUUUGACAUUUCUAGGAGGGCUUUUGUGCUUGUGUUUAGAGAAGUCUGCUUUAUUAGACAUUGUAGUACAUAAUA